rnacentral:sRNA from 1 species
AUUGUGUGUUUGCGUUAGAAAAAGAUAUGAGAGCUGAGAGAGAGAGAGAGGAAGCAGAGGAUAGACAGAGAGAAAAGGGAAAAUUACCAG